GGCCGCUUAGAUUAGUGGUAAUAUCGUGAGCUUUACAGUGCGAAUUCGGAUUCGAGUUCACCACCUGUCUACGCUCAAUGUCGCAGGUUCGAUCCCUGCAGUGGUCA
rnacentral:tRNA from 2 species